CACUAAGAAGCUUGUAACAGCACUAGCCUUUUAACCUAGAGAAGGGGCCUCCCGCCCCCAAGUGG
rnacentral:tRNA from 1 species